UUGUGAUAGAGUUUUACCCGCAGAUAAUUAAAAACCUACAGCAAUGUCAUAUUUUCUCUCCUCCCUCAUUUUGUUCCUUUCGCUCCCUCUAACAAAGGCGACGAAGGCGAUGAAGCUCCUCCGUAGAAACCGAUGAAAAUCGCAGGAUUUCUUGAAAUUCCUCCAUAAAAUCGAGCUUAUUCAAGUUUUAUUUGUCCAAUUCUGCUGCAAAUCAGAGAUUAUUUGAUUAAAAUCGAGCUUUAUCAAGUUUAAAUCCGGAUGCAUUUUUAAUUAGGUUUUCUCCAAAUUAAUGAUUCAAGUAUUAUCAGGUUAUCUGCAUUGCUCACAAAGGGGUAUUUUUAUAAAAGACCCAAUCAAUAUGCUACAAACGUCGUUUAAAACGUAAUUACAACUACAGCCUUAGGUAAGAGUACUUUGCAUAUGGUAGAUUGGUGUGUAACAGUGUCAAUACAAAGUUCGCCAAUUUACAAUGACUGAAGAACAGCAAAGAAUUCAGGAUGAGCUGAACUUGUUGGGAAGAUUGUCACAUCCAAACUUCGCUCAUUCAUUAGGAUAUUGCUGGACUGAGGAGAAGUUUUAUUUAGUCUCUGAAUAUAUACCCAAAGGAAUUUGGAUAAUCAUAUGCUCAACGGUAAACAGUUAAUUGUUUGCUUUGGAGUUUGGCGUUGAACUGUUGAUCAGUGUGGUCUAACUAGAUUCUGGUAUUUCCUCCGCAGGGUGGAAGUUCUGGAAAUCCUCCAAGUUUUGGUUCGACACUCACAAAACAGGAAUUAUCUUAGACAAGCCCGAAACUGUGGAAAGACACGAAAUGAUCAAGAAGACAAUUCAAGAAAAUCCAGAGAUGGAGGGAAAACUUCAGGCCAUUCUAGAUGCUUUUAGAGAUAAGUAAGAUUGGUGCUGCUAUGUGCUUCCUUGCUUCCUGCUGGGCUAAUGUGCCUUGCUUCUACUAUCUGCUGCAAACUUUGAAUUUUAUUUAAAUUGCAGUAAUCAGACCAAGUGUUAUUGUGGUCUUAUUUUUGAUUUCUUGGGCAUCAGACAAUUGGUUGUGGUAGUUUUAAUCAUGGGCCAUUGUUGUAGAUUUGGAUUUUGUGAAAUGAACUUGAUGGUACUUUUAUAA